UGGGGAAUCUUGCGCAAUGGGCGAAAGCCUGACGCAGCGACGCCGCGUGAGUGAUGAAGGCCUUCGGGUUGUAAAGCUCUGUGGGGAGAGAAGAAUUAGUGCAGCCUAAUACGUUGCAUGAUGACGGUAUCUCCUUAGCAAGCACCGGCUAACUCUGUGCCAGCAGCCGCGGUAAGACAGAGGGUGCAAACGUUGUUCGGAAUUACUGGGCGUAAAGCGUGUGUAGGCGGCCAGAUAAGUUGGAUGUGAAAGCCCCGGGCUCAACCCGGGAAGUGCAUUCAAAACUGUUUGGCUUGAGUACUGGAGAGGUUGGUAGAAUUCUCGGUGUAGAGGUGAAAUUCGUAGAUAUCGAGAGGAAUACCGGUGGCGAAGGCGGCCAACUGGACAGAUACUGACGCUGAGACACGAAAGCGUGGGGAGCAAACA
rnacentral:rRNA from 1 species